AUGGUUGAAGGCUCCGAGUCGAACAUCUCCAAUCUUAAGUUCCUUCUCCUCUGCUUCCAACAAAUGUCUGGCCUUAAGAUAAAAUUCGACAAGAGUGAUGUGAUGGUGAUGGGCUAUUCAGAGGCCGAGUCCCUCGCCAUCGCUAAUAGGCUUAAUUGUCGCCGUGGCUCCUUCCCCACGUCCUACUUGGGAACGCCCAUUAGCGACUCUCGCCUCACCGUUGUGGACCUCUGCCCGACCGUGGCCAAGCUUCAGACGCGCAUCGAACCUUGGCAGGGGCGUUGGUUGUCUAAGGCGGCUCGGACUAUUCUUAUUAAUUCAACCCUCUCCAGCCUCCUCUUGUUCCUCAUGAGCUUCUACAGCCUCCAUGAGACUCUGCACCACGAGAUCGCCAAAAUCCAGUCCCGCUUCUACUGGGCUGGCGACAACAAUAAGCAAAAAUAUCAUAUGGUCAGCUGGCCCUACAUCUGCAAGCCCAGGGAUUAGGGAGGCCUCGGUAUCAUGUGUUCUAAGCGCAUGAAUAUCGCCCUCCUGUCCCGUUGGCUCUGGCGCAUCUCGCAAGGCCAUGGUGGCCUCUGGCUCGACAUCAUCCGGAACAAGUACCUGCGUGGACAACCCCUUGCCUUUUUUCAGAGAUCUGGCGGCUCGCAGUUCUGGCAGUCGGUCGUCCAGCUUCUCCCUGUCCUUCGCAUUGGGACCUCCAUCUCGGUGGGGUCCGGCACAGCGACUUUGUUCUGGUUUGACCGGUGGGCCGGAGACUCACCCUUUGCCGCGCGCUUUCCCGACCUCUUCUCCACCGCGGUUGACCCCUUGAUUUCAGUUGAGAGGGCCCUUAUUGACCUAGGGCGCCUCGCUUUCCGGAGGCCUUUCGCGCCCCCCCCCCCGGAAUCCGCCGCUUGGCGUGAGUUACUUGACUGCGUGGCUCUCCAUGAGCCUGUGCUGGACGGUGGCCCGGGCCAGAUGAGGUGGCGGCUCGAACUUUCGGGCCAAUUCUCCACCAAGUCGCUCUACCUGGCCAUCGCCCCCUCCUCCGCCCCUCCCCCCUUACGACGGUGCGGUCCAUCCGCUUGCCUCUGA
rnacentral:rRNA from 1 species